CUUCUGCUUAGUGAGGCAGACUGCAUCUGCUUAACGUACAGAGGAGAAGAUUUGGUGGAACAAAGAAUAUGGCCUUCAAAUGCAUAAAAGUGAUGCAGAGAAAGGGCAUAGUGCCUUCACUUCCACUGUGAAAAGACAAGAGGAUUAACUUCAUUAUCUGUCUGAGUUAAGUCAAGCUGGAAGAAUCUCUUUCAAAGUGAUCUUGGAGCCUGAGAGAUCAGGAUCUGUGAAAGACCAUGCAGGGUAAAGCACGGCUGUUUAGCAUCCUGCAUCAGAUCUUCCACUGGAUUGGUUGACUGCCCAAACAGUGGGCACACGAGAGGAGACAUGAAGCACUUUGUACAGUCAAGGAUGAUGGUGCUGGAUGACAACUGAAGAGAUGAAAUUGCAGCGAAGCCACUUGAACACUUAUCAAAGAAAUGGACCUGCUAAUUAAGAGGAUAAUGUUUCCUGGCACCAAGACAAAACAUACAAAGCUGAAUCUCAAGGCCUUCCUCAAGCAAACUUCUGUGGGAAUGUGGCUGUGUGAGGGCUGCAAGAACAAGCCUUUAAGUAAAACCCACUCUAAAUGAAAGCGUUAGAUCAGCAUGCUGGUUAGAAGAAAAUGUACUUCCUGAAAACUAAGGCAUGAGUAUACCUGCUUCUUUUGCCAAAUCUCACAUUGCUUUGCAUUCCCAUUGCACUUUUUGUUGAGGCUAUUCUGUGUAUUGAUUACAGUAAUUAAUCUUUGUAUCACUUCUGUGAGGCAGGACAUGUUUCUCCCACGUCCAUUGUGCAUUUUAACUAUUACACUAUCUACUUUACAAAUAGUAAAACUAAGGCACAAAGUUCAGAGACACCAAAUCAAUGCCAGAGUACAGCAGAGUCCUAUUCCUGGCUCUACGCACAAUACACACGGUUUUUCCUAUGUAUGCAGUAAUCUCAAACAUGCUUCUUAACUGAGCAAAUCUUCCCAUAUGAAUGAGGGUAAUAUAUCUUUUUUAGUGAGUAUUCUGUAUUUCUAACAUCUAUGACUCCACAGAAUUUAGAUCACGAUAAAGAUAAUACUAUGGCAUGCUUUUUAUAUUUACUAUAAUUGUGAGACAGUUCAGUCUGAGUACAAAAGGCAGCCUUUGGACAGCUGGAAGAAGUUUUAAAUGUUAAUAAUUUGGGUAAGAGUUGGUUCUACAGUGGUAUUAUGGUCUAGUUCACAGUAACUGUUUUUUGAUACUUUGCUGGCCUCUAGAGGGAUAACUUAUACACCGGCUGAAGCAGUAACACAGGGAUUUUAAGCAUUACAGCCUGAUCUUCAAUCUUUCUUGCCAGGUAAUUUGUUUCUAUUUUGCAAGGCUUUUAAGUAGUGAGGCUUUGUAGCUCUUUGGAAACACUUUUUUCACUUCCAUGAUUUUCUUUCUGUCUGGGCAAUAGGUGUAAGGUAUGUUUCUUCUGCUUGAAGAAAUAAGGGUAGAAGAUCCUGGCAAUAAACACCUCUCAGCCACUGAAGUGAGAAGCUCUGAGGAAAAUGUGCCAGAAGGGUGUGAGAGAAAGAAAUACAGAGAAGAGAAUACAGCAUUUUUAUGUAUAACUUUUAUUUGUAAUUUAAAAGCUCCUAAAUGCUGAGGGUUCUUCUCAUAACUCCUGUCCUGGUCAGUGAGAAGCGUAACUGUAUUGUGUAAGCAAACAAACAAACAAAUGGACCAUGACUUUGAAAUCCCCAGAAAGAAGCAUAUUUUCCCUGUCUUUUUCUGAUUUGUGCUUCUCUUCUUGCAUUUGCUGUAUUCUCUGCUUCGUUCCCAAACUCCACCUUUUUAUUUCUUUCAGGAUACAUGUAUUAAAUCUGAGAAAAACA